UAGAUGGAAAAUCCACAUGGU
rnacentral:siRNA from 1 species